UACGUAGGGGGCAAGCGUUGUCCGGAAUCAUUGGGCGUAAAGAGCGUGUAGGCGGCUUCGUCAGUCCGUUGUGAAAGUCCAGGGCUCAACCCUGGAAUGCCGAUGGAUACUGCGGAGCUAGAGUCCGGAAGAGGCGAGUGGAAUUCCUGGUGUAGCGGUGAAAUGCGCAGAUAUCGAGAGGAACACCUGCGGCGAAGGCGGGUUGCUGGGCUGACACUGACGCUGAGGCGCGAAAGCCCAGGGGGAGCGAACGGG
rnacentral:rRNA from 1 species